CAGUAGCCACGGGAAUACGGAGGGUGCAUGCGUUAAUCGGAAUUACUGGGCGUAAAGCGCACGCAGGCGGUCUGACAAGUCAGAUGUGAAAUCCCCGGGCUUAACCUGGGAACUGCAUUUGAAACUGUCAGGCUGGAGUCUUGUAGAGGGGGGUGGAAUUCCAGGUGUAGCGGUGAAAUGCGUAGAGAUCUGGAGGAAUACCGGUGGCGAAGGCGGCCCCCUGGACAAAGACUGACGCUCAGGUGCGAAAGCGUGGGGAGCAAACAGGAUUAGAUACCCCUGUAGUCCCUGUCUCUUAUAC
rnacentral:rRNA from 1 species